CUACGUGCCAGCAGCCGCGGUAAUACGGAAGGUCCAGGCGUUAUCCGGAUUUAUUGGGUUUAAAGGGAGCGUAGGCCGUGGAUUAAGCGUGUUGUGAAAUGUAGACGCUCAACGUCUGAAUUGCAGCGCGGACUGGUUCACUUGAGUAUGCACAACGUAGGCGGAAUUCGUCGUGUAGCGGUGAAAUGCUUAGAUAUGACGAAGAACUCCGAUUGCGAAGGCAGCUUACGGGAGCACAACUGACGCUGAAGCUCGAAGGUGCGGGUAUCAAACAGGAUUAGAUACCCUGGUAGUCCGCACAGUAAACGAUGGAUGCCCGUUGUUAGUUCACUUUAGAAUUAGCGACCAAGCGAAAGCAUUAAGCAUCCCACCUGGGGAGUACGCCGGCAACGGUGAAACUCAAAGGAAUUGACGGGGGCCCGCACAAGCGGAGGAACAUGUGGUUUAAUUCGAAGCAACGCGAAGAACCUUACCAGGGCU
rnacentral:rRNA from 1 species